GAAACAUUUAGUAAAUAUUUAAGAUAAUCCUGUUAAAAAGAUUAUAUGAAUUCUUCUGGUACCAGACUUCCAUCAUCAAGUUGUAUGAAAAAAUGAGAUGUGGUAAAGUUUCCAAUGAGACCACUUUUUAACAAAGACUUAAAUACAAGAAUGUAAACUAUUGUAACUGUAUGGCCUUUAACAAUGAGCAAACCCAAACCUUAUUGUAAGCUAUUAAAAGGCCUAGGAACAAUAAAUAUGAAACAAUAGACCACUAAUGAGUAAGGUGCAACUUUGAUUUUAGAGGACAUGAUUCAUUUUUAGGGGCAUCAUCACUUCCUUCAAAUGUAAACUGAGCGAUUGAAACAUAUGAGAUGCUAUAUUGCAUGAUUUAUACAUUUAUUCAUUAAAUCUGUACCGAUUCAGUGUGUUAAAUGUCUUCCUUUUUACACCAUAACCCAUGGUGGUGCUCCUACUAAAGGAGGAAGAUACGGAACAUACAUACAUACGGCAAAUUAAAUUCUUAUAAUUGAUAAUCAGCAUAAGAGAAUUGUGUAUUAAAGUAUAUCAUUCCACAUGGUAUAUUUAAUAAGACAUACUAGUUAUUACAAUUUAUGGAACAUAACUUGAAACAUAAAACAAAUAAAAAGCAUUCACUUGACGGCCCCUUAUAAAUAUUCCCUUUUCAAUUACCUUUGACCUAAAAAGUAGAUUCUUUUAACUUGAGCCCCCAACUGAGAUAAAAGCCUAUAAAUCUUAAACCUGUAACAGAGC
rnacentral:lncRNA from 1 species